UACAGUCAUAUCGCGUUGAAACACCAGUAUGAUUACUGAAGUUAAGCAAUGUCAAGCCUGGUCAGUAUCUAGAUGAGUGACCACUUGGGAAUACCAGGUGCUGCAAGC